UACGUAGGGUGCAAGCGUUGUCCGGAAUUAUUGGGCGUAAAGAGCUCGUAGGCGGUUUGUCGCGUCUGCUGUGAAAACUCAGGGCUUAACUCUGAGCUUGCAGUGGAUACGGGCAGACUAGAGUUCGGUAGGGGAGUCUGGAAUUCCUGGUGUAGCGGUGAAAUGCGCAGAUAUCAGGAGGAACACCGGUGGCGAAGGCGGGACUCUGGGCCGAUACUGACGCUGAGGAGCGAAAGCGUGGGGAGCAAACAGG
rnacentral:rRNA from 1 species